AUUCCUACGGGAGGCAGCAGUGGGGAAUAUUGGACAAUGGGCGCAAGCCUGAUCCAGCCAUGCCGCGUGUGUGAAGAAGGCCUUCGGGUUGUAAAGCACUUUCAGCGAGGAGGAAGGGAUGUAUGUUAAUAGCAUGCAUUUUUGACGUUACUCGCAGAAGAAGCACCGGCUAACUCUGUGCCAGCAGCCGCGGUAAUACAGAGGGUGCAAGCGUUAAUCGGAAUUACUGGGCGUAAAGCGCACGUAGGCGGUUGUUUAAGUUGGAUGUGAAAGCCCCGGGCUCAACCUGGGAAUUGCAUUCAAAACUGGACAACUAGAGUGUGUGAGAGGGGGGUAGAAUUCCAAGUGUAGCGGUGAAAUGCGUAGAGAUUUGGAGGAAUACCAGUGGCGAAGGCGGCCCCCUGGCACAACACUGACGCUCAGGUGCGAAAGCGUGGGGAGCAAACAGGAUUAGAUACCCUGGUAGUCCACGCCGUAAACGAUGUCUACUAGCUGUUCGUGACCUUGUGUUGUGAGUAGCGCAGCUAACGCAUUAAGUAGACCGCCUGGGGAGUACGGUCGCAAGAUUAAAACUCAAAUGAAUUGACGGGGGCCCGCACAAGCGGUGGAGCAUGUGGUUUAAUUCGACGCAACGCGAAGAACCUUACCUACUCUUGACAUCUACAGAAGACUGCAGAGAUGCGGUUGUGCCUUCGGGAACUGUAAGACAGGUGCUGCAUGGCUGUCGUCAGCUCGUGUUGUGAAAUGUUGGGUUAAGUCCCGCAACGAGCGCAACCCUUAUCCUUAGUUGCCAGCGAUUCGGUCGGGAACUCUAGGGAGACUGCCGGUGAUAAACCGGAGGAAGGUGGGGACGACGUCAAGUCAUCAUGGCCCUUACGAGUAGGGCUACACACGUGCUACAAUGGUAUGUACAGAGGGAGGCGAUGCCGCGAGGCGGAGCGGAUCUCUUAAAGCAUAUCGUAGUCCGGA
rnacentral:rRNA from 1 species